GCAGGCCCCGCCUCCUGGGCGACCCUUUUCUCGGCGUUCCCCCCAACACGCCUUCGGAGCAGGCUCUCGAAUCUUGAGCUCCCGGGAGCCUCAGAGUUCGGCCAGUGUUGCCGCUGCCCUCUCGAAGACGCGGACCUGUGGUCCCCAGCCUCUCCCAGGAGACCUGCGCCCUGUUCCUUUUCUCCCAGAGCCCCAAGUGGGGCGGGAAUGUGGGCAGUUAUGGGAGGCACGGAGGCUGCAGUUGGAGCUGGUCGGGGCUUUUUUAUCUGGCAGUUACUUCCUCAUCUGAGCUGGGCUCGGCCUGGCGGUCUCCAGAAAGGCCAGCUCUCGGCACUGUCUCGAGCUCUCCUCUCCUUUCCUUAACGCUUCUGGGUGACAGGAGCUGCAGUUGUGGCUGUUUUUGUUAAGUUUGAGAUCUUUCUUAGUGGCCGAACGGGGCUGCUGGGUAGUGCUUUUUGCUCCCAGCUCAGCUACUCCCCCAACCUUGGGAGAGGUUUUGUUUUGAAACUUUGUGUUUGGGCUUGGCCCUUUUUGAAUGCCUUGGUGUGUUUUGUGAUUAAAGUUGUUCAGUCAUACAACUUAACUAGCAUUCGGGAUCAUGAUGUGUUAUUCUCGUUAAUGUGGCGGUAAAAUAUAGUGUUUGAGUUUUGGCAAGCCACUUUAUUUCCUCAUUUUGAUAGGGGCCCUAGCUUCUCUGGUGAGAUAAGGCUAUGAAAAAUGGUGUGUGUGCGUGUUGGGGCAGGGGGUGGUCUUUUGGAAUGUAAUAGAUCAGCAAGCAGAAAGUAAAUUUUCUUGAUGAACUUGCUUUUGCAGAUAUAAACGGGAACGCAGUUUGUGAGAUUUGGAAGUAAUGUUGUAGGCUUCCGAUGUUCAUUUUUCUUCCUAUUGAUCAACGGUGUUAGACUGUCCUUUUUCACUAAUAUACAAGCUUUAUGGAUUUUUUUUGUGGAUGGCUUAGGCUUUGCUUCUGCUACUUGGGUUCAUUUGCUUUGAUUUUUCUUCAUGCUGUAUAAGAAACGUUACUAGGACAUUUAUAAGGCCUCAGUGGGGCAAAUUUGCAAAAAGAUACUAAAAAUUUAAGGGGAUGGAAUGAUGAUUAAGACUGGGAUUUGGAUCUCUAUUCCUCUGCGCUUUCUUUAAAAGAUGGCUGGGAUGGGAAAAGAAGUGUCCAUUUCAGAUUCAUUCUACCACCUUGGAGGCAAAACAUACUUAAGAUCCACUAUUAUAUGCAUACUUUGACCGAAGGCCUACUUUGCCCUAGCUAUUCAUUGGGAUUUUUUUCUGGUUCUUGCAGUGGUCGUCUCGUUUCCUCCAUCAGAUGAAUUGCUAAUGAGCUCUGCACCUGAAAUGGCUCCCCAUUCACUUUGUCGUUUGCUGUGCUCCCUAAGGGCAGAGGAUUUUGGAGCUCACUUCCUUGCUGGACACCCACUAAGCUAAAUACUGAAUAAUUUUACCACUGAUCCCACGGAACUGGGUUCUCAAACCAAGUAAAAAGUUGCAGUGAUUCUUGGAAAUUAAAGCAAAGAACAUUACAGCUGUGUUGAGGUCUUGCAUAGGGCUGUGUGAAUGUAGAAGCAAAGGCAGAUAUGUGUAGCAAGAUGUAUAGCUUGUGAAGAAGUUCAGGAAACGCCACCCCAAAAUAUGCUGCAUUGGAUCUCAAACUGAAGGCACUUGGGGAGCAGCAGAUGGAGGGCUGUCUCUGAACUUACUUCAUCUACCUAAAGACACAUCCUCCAAAAGGAACUCUAGGCCGGGCGCUGUGGCUCACGCCUGUAAUCCCAGCACUUUGGGAGGCUGAGGUGGGCGGAUCACUUGAGGCCAGGAGUUCGAGACCAGUCUGGCCGACAUGACAAAACCCUGUCUCUACUAAAAAAUACAAAAAUUAGCCGGGCAUGGUGGCGCACGUAAUCCCUGCUACUCGGGAGGCUGAGGCACAAGAAUGGCUUGAACCUGGGAGGCAGAGGUUGCAGUGAGCCAAGAUUGCACCACUGUACUCCAGCCUGAAAAAAAAAACAAAAGAAGGAACUCUAUUGUCAUGAAUCCCUUCCCUGCUAACCUUAUGAACCAGGGAAGAUUAAUUCCUAUCACAGGAGAUGAGACUGGAGGUCUAUAUCACAUGCAGAAAGACAGCCUUAGCUGUCACCUGUUCUUCUGAGGGCCCAUUGAUUUUUUUUUCCCAAAAAUCAUUAAGUCGGGUGCAGUGGUGUGCACCUAUAGGGAGGAUCACUUGAGCCCAGGAUAUAUAUAUACAUAUAUGUGUAUACACACACACACACACACACACACACACACACACAAAAUAUCUUAAGUGAAUAGUGUACGUGGUUUACUCUCCCCUAAGUUGCCUAUAAGAAAUAUAGAAAUAUAAUUAUUUCUAUGGUUUUGUUAUAUAAUUAUUUCUAUAAUUUUAUUAUAUAAUUUUUCUAUAAUUUUAUAGUAUAAUUAUAUAAUUAUUUCUUUUUUAUAUACUUUAAAUUUUAGGGUACAUGUGCACAACGUGCAGGUUUGUUACAUAUGUAUACAUGUGCCAUGUUGGUGUGCUGCACCCAUUAACUCAUUUACAUUAGGUAUAUCUCCUAAUGCUAUCCCUCCCCUCUCCCCCCAAUAAUUAUUUCUAUAAUUUUAUAUGAUAAUUAUAUAAUUAUAUAAAACAUAUUUCUAUAAUUUCUAUAGAAAUAUAAGAAAACUUCUCAGUCUCACUGGGUUCUGGGUAUUUACUUUUCCUUGUUGUGAUGCCCCUUACAUGUAACAAAUUUGUAUUAUUUUUCUUUCCUUAAACUGCUGACUGUUUAUUUCAAUCACCUAACCCUCAGAAGGUAGAGGGAAAGUCUUCCAUCCUCCACACUUGCUUAUCUAUUCUACUAGAUAGUAAAUUCAUGGAGGUCAGGAAACACGGAUUUUUCUGUUUUUUCUCUUCUAUUCCCUGACCACUCUGUCUAAAAAAAGUAGAACAUUUUGAAGCCCCUAUUAGGCUGAUGUUCACUUCCGAUUUAUUACGGAAUUUCUACUCCGUGGCCCCGUUGUCUUUAUAAUCUUUAAAUUUUUUCUUUUACAUGUUUUUAUUGAUACGGACUCACUGUUAAUUUUUUCAUCUUGAUAUUGGAGUCACAUUUGGGACUCCAAUCCAAGGUACACUGGCCCUUAGUUUUGUGAUUUGCAUCUGGGUUGUUUUCUUAGAUUUGAAGCAUUUGGUGUUUUCUUUCUCUGAUUCUAAAGUAAUACAUGCCUAUUAUACAAAGUGUAGAAAUUAUUCUAAUAAUUUUUUUUUCUUUUUUGAGACGGAGUCUCGCUCUGUCUCUCAGUCUGGAGUGCAGUGGUGUGAUCUCGGCUCACUGCAUCCUCCGCAUCCCAGGUUCAAGUGAUUCUCCUGCCUCAGCCUCCUGAGUAGCUGGGAUUACAGGCUCCCGCCACCACACCCGGAUAAUUUUUUGUAUUUUUAGUAGAGACGGGGUUUCACCUUGUUAGCCAGGAUGGCCUCGAUCUCCUGACCUGGUGAUCCGCCUGCUUUGGCCUCCCAAAGUGCUGGGAUUACAGGCGUGAGCCAUUGCGCCUGGCCUCAUACUGCAUUUUUAAUUUUGAGUUUUGCUUUUUCAUUUAAUGUGGCAGUUAUUCUAUUUAGUUUUUCUUUUUUUUUUUUUUUCGAGAUGGAGUCUCACUCACUCUGUCGCCUAGGCUAGAGUGCAGUGGCACGAUCUGUGCUCACUGCAACCUCCGCCUCCCGACUUCAAGUCAUUCUCCUUCCUCAGCCUCCCAAGUAGCUGGGAUUACAGGUGCCACGCCACCAUGCCUGGCUAAUUUUUGUAUUUUUAGUAAAGAUGGUGUUUUGCCACGUUGACCAGGUUGUUCUCAAACUCCUGACCAUAAGUGAUCUGCCUGCCUCAGUCUCCCAGAGUGCUGGGAUUACAGGUUGUAAGCCAGCGCACCCAGCCUGUUAUUUUCCUUUUUUACUAAAAAUUAUUCAUUUUAUGGGUGAUUUUAAUUUUCUUGGUGCUUUUCUCUAUUUUCCACAGGUAAUUCAUGUGUUGCUUUUAUAACGCAAAAGAUAAUAAUAAAUGCUGUGCAAGGAAUUUGAAUGUAAUCUUAUGAACGUAAUUUUUUUUGGCUGAGUAAUUUAACUCUUCUCUUUUCGUUGGCUAUUAAAGUUGUUUCAGAUUUUAGGCUUCAUCUAUAAUGCCAUGGUGAGCAUUUUUGUGAAUAAAACCUUUUCAGUGUUUAGGGUUAUUUAUUAGGAUUAUGGUCCAGAGUGGUAUGAUAGACACUGAGUAUGUACAUAUUUAAGAUUCUUGAUAUAUAGCAAUUAAAAAAAAAAAAGUCAUGCCAGUUUUUACUCUGACCUGAGUUUGCUUAUGGAAUAAGCAUU
rnacentral:lncRNA from 10 species